GGACUACAGGGGUAUCUAAUCCUGUUUGAUCCCCACGCUUUCGCGCCUCAGCGUCAGUAUUUGUCCAGGUAGCCGCCUUCGCCACUGGUGUUCCUUCCGAUCUCUACGCAUUUCACCGCUACACCGGAAAUUCCACUACCCUCUACAAUACUCUAGUCAUACAGUAUAAGAUGCAGUUCCUAGGUUAAGCCCAGGGCUUUCACAUCUCACUUAUACAACCGCCUACGCGCCCUUUACGCCCAGUAACUCCGAUUAACGCUUGCACCCUCUGUAUUACCGCGGCUGCUGGCAC
rnacentral:rRNA from 1 species